rnacentral:rRNA from 1 species
AUUGAACGCUGGCGGCAGGCCUAACACAUGCAAGUCGAACGAGUGGCGGACGGGUGAGUAAUGUCUGGGAAACUGCCUGAUGGAGGGGGAUAACUACUGGAAACGGUAGCUAAUACCGCAUACCAUCAGAUGUGCCCAGAUGGGAUUAGCUAGUUGGUGGGGUAACGGCUCACCUAGGCGACGAUCCCUAGCUGGUCUGAGAGGAUGACCAGCCACCCGGGAACUGAGAGACGGUCCAGACUCCUACGGGAGGCAGCCGUGGGGAAUAUUGCACAAUGGGCGCAAGCCUGAUGCAGCCAGGCCGCGUGUAUGAAGAAGGCCUUCGGGUUGUAAAGUACUUUCAGCGGGGAGGCGUUACCCGCAGAAGAAGCACCGGCUAACUCCGUGCCAGCAGCCGCGGUAAUUC